ACGUAGGGGGCAAGCGUUAUCCGGAUUUACUGGGUGUAAAGGGAGCGUAGACGGCAGUGCAAGUCUGAAGUGAAAGCCCGGGGCUCAACCCCGGGACUGCUUUGGAAACUGUGCAGCUGGAGUGUCGGAGAGGCAAGCGGAAUUCCUAGUGUAGCGGUGAAAUGCGUAGAUAUUAGGAGGAACACCAGUGGCGAAGGCGGCUUGCUGGACGAUGACUGACGUUGAGGCUCGAAAGCGUGGGGAGCAAACAG
rnacentral:rRNA from 1 species